rfam:Garciella nitratireducens DSM 15102 genome assembly, contig: BP36DRAFT_scaffold00011.11
CCGUGCUAGAUGGGGAGGUAGCGGUGCCCUGUAACCUGCAAUCCGCUAUAGCAGGGUUGAAUUCCUAUCCGAGGUUUUGAGCCUUUAGAGCCUGCCUCUAGUAAGUAGUGUUGAAGAUUGGGUCCUACGCAACGGAAAUUCACGAACCCCGUCAGGUCCGGAAGGAAGCAGCGGUAAGUGAACCCUUUCGUGUGCCGUAGGUCAGCCUGGUCAGAGCUAACUGCUAGGGUACCGUCUAAGGACUCAUUGCCAAAGAUAGGUGCACGG